UCAUUAGUUAUUUUAUUUAUUAGGUGAUUGAAAAGCAAUCUCUACAAUCUGCUGUCAUUCAUUUAUUUUCAACAGUAAAAACCCCUGGGAGAGUUCCCGUCACUUUACAAUCCAUAUCUCAACAGGUUGUUUCAGCAGGUAUAAAGUAUCUAAACAGAAAAACACAAAUCAAGCAGAAUAUGAAAGCCCAUUUUCUGAUUUGAGUAUUUCUAGAUUCCUGUGUGUUUCUUAAUCGCAUCAAGCCAUAUUUAGAACAACAUUGUCCAUUUUCCAAAAUGCUGCUCCCCCUCUCAAAACAUAAAUACUGUACAUUCAUCUUAGCAAUGCUUUACAAUUACAUUCAGCAAAGGAACAUAACAGCAAGAAACUAACACAAAGACACAGUAAUCUUGAUAGAAACAAAAGGUUAAAAAAAAGUGAAAAAACUAAAGGUUAGUCUGUCUUGUAAAAAUCCCAGUAGAUCAAUAUUGUCUUGGUGGUCACUUGAUCAUAAUUAUCACCAUUGGAUGUACAACUAUGAAGGGCUGCUGAAUUAUAUAUAAUAUAUAUCAUUAUUUAAUACGCAUUUCACCAAAUUCAUACACAACAAUUAUACAAUUUCUGAUUGAGAAGGAAACGGAAAGUAAACACUCCGUAUGCGGCAUUCAUUCAUUGUUAUCACCACAGUCAAAAUCCAUGUGUUCAGUACAGAGGCUGUUCUACUCUCGGAGACUGUCAGUUGACAAGCAGGGAUCCACCAUAGAAAAUCAGGAAGGCAAACACAGCGAAGGAACACGACUGUUAAGAAUGCACAGGCCUCAACCCUGACUGAAGUACAGCAUGGUAAAACAAGAAAGGUCACAGGAGGGAUAUACUGAAGUAGUGUUUAGAUUGCUGGAACAUCUGAAACCUCCUCCUCUGUAAACAGAAAAUUUUAGAUUUAGAUUUUGUAUUUACUGAUAACAAUUUUAAGUUUAGCUAUAAAGAUCAAAUCCAGGUCGAAGUCCCCAAGCAUUAUGUAAUAGCUAUACUUAAACUAUUACUUAUUGUUUCAAGCUGCCUGCAAGAAGAAAAUUCCACUCCAGUUUGAUGAAAUGUCUACUGAAAUAAUAUAGUAUUAACAUUGUGUUAUCAUUAAAUUAUAUGAUUCUUAACUGUCAUCAAGCGCAAAAUAUUUUGUAUCUACAGUAUCUGCAACCUCUUUCUCAGGUACUAAUCUGAUCUCACUGUGGUUCUAGAAGGGCAGAGCUGUGUUCUACUGGUAUGAAGUAUACUCCUGGGGCAUCUUUUGGGGGUUCUUCAGAGUGAAAUUGUGGCAGAACCUCUAUUGAUUAUUCAAAUAAUCCCCUUUUAAUGGUUCCUCAAAAAAAUUAUUUGAAAUAACCUUUCAAAAUGUUCUUUUGAUGACAUACAAUGCCCUGAAUUCCCCAACAGUUUCAAUGUGAAGAACAUUGGGUUCCCCAGCAUUUUCAAUG
ensembl:lncRNA